rnacentral:rRNA from 1 species
UACGGGGGGGGCAAGCGUUGUUCGGAAUUACUGGGCGUAAAGGGCUCGUAGGCGGCCAACUAAGUCAGACGUGAAAUCCCCAGGCUCAACCUGGGAACUGCGUCUGAUACUGGAUGGCUUGAAUCCGGGAGAGGGAUGCAGAAUUCCAGGUGUAGCGGUGAAAUGCGUAGAUAUCUGGAGGAACACCCGUGGCGAAGGCGGCUCCCUGGUCCGAUUCUGACGCUGAGACGCGAAAGCGCGGGGAGCGAACGGG